AGGACCGGAGGAUUCCUUUCUAGUAGACGGCCUCCAAUGCGUCGGGCACCACCCUGCUAAAGAGCACCGCGGCAAAGAGGUUAAACUAGAUCACGAAUGGUUUUCAGCUGCUUAACGAUGAGUCCAAAGGAGAAACAUCC